UCUUGAUAUUGCAUGUUUUUUUAAGGGGCAGCACAUUGAUUUUGUAAAGAGAAUACUAGAUGGCUGUGGUUUCUCAGCUGGCAUUGGAAUAAGUGUUCUUGUUGAUAAAUGCCUUGUUACUACUGUGGAAAACAAGCUUGGGAUGCAUGACUUGUUACAAGAAAUGGCUCACGAAAUUGUUCGCCAAGAAUCUGCUAAAGAGCUUGGCAAACGGAGUAGAUUGUGGAGUUGUACUGAUGUCUGUCGAUUGUUGGCCAAAAAUCUGGGAACUGAAAAAGUUGAAGGGAUAUUCUUGGACACAUCAAAAAUGGGGGAAAUGGACAUGAGUUCCAGAGCCUUUGUGAGGA
rnacentral:misc_RNA from 1 species